rnacentral:rRNA from 1 species
AUUGAACGCUGGCGGCAGGCCUAACACAUGCAAGUCGAGCGGAUGAAGGGAGCUUGCUCCUGGAUUCAGCGGCGGACGGGUGAGUAAUGCCUAGGAAUCUGCCUGGUAGUGGGGGAUAACGUCCGGAAACGUGCGCUAAUACCGCAUACGUCCUGAGGGAGAAAUUGGGGGAUCUUCGGACCUCACGCUAUCAGAUGAGCCCAGGUCGGAUUAGCUAGUUGGUGGGGUAAAGGCCUACCAAGGCGACGAUCCGUAUCUGGUCUGAGAGGAUGAUCAGUCACACUGGAACUGAGACACGGUCCAGACUCCUACGGGAGGCAGCAGUGGGGAAUAUUGGACAAUGGGCGAAAGACUGAUCCAGCCAUGCCGCGUGUGUGAAGAAGGUCUUCGGAUUGUAAAGCACUUUAAGUUGGGAGGAAGGGCAGUAAGUUAAUACCUUGCUGUUUUGACGUUACCAACAGAAUAAGCACCGGCUAACUUCGUG